CGUUAACGGCGUCGAGCGGCGGACGGGUGAGUAAUGCCUGGGAAAUUCGCCCUGAUGUGGGGGAUAACCAUUGGAAACGAUGGCUAAUACCGCAUAAUAGCUUCGGCUCAAAGAGGGGGACCUUCGGGCCUCUCGCGUCAGGAUAUGCCCAGGUGGGAUUAGCUAGUUGGUGAGGUAAUGGCUCACCAAGGCGACGAUCCCUAGCUGGUCUGAGAGGAUGAUCAGCCACACUGGAACUGAGACACGGUCCAGACUCCUACGGGAGGCAGCAGUGGGGAAUAUUGCACAAUGGGCGCAAGCCUGAUGCAGCCAUGCCGCGUGUAUGAAGAAGGCCUUCGGGUUGUAAAGUACUUUCAGCAGUGAGGAAGGCGGAGUCGUUAAUAGCGGCCUCGUUUGACGUUAGCUGCAGAAGAAGCACCGGCUAACUCCGUGCCAGCAGCCGCGGUAAUACGGAGGGUGCGAGCGUUAAUCGGAAUUACUGGGCGUAAAGCGCAUGCAGGUGGUUUGUUAAGUCAGAUGUGAAAGCCCGGGGCUCAACCUCGGAAUUGCAUUUGAAACUGGCAGACUAGAGUACUGUAGAGGGGGGUAGAAUUUCACGUGUAGCGGUGAAAUGCGUAGAGAUCUGAAGGAAUACCGGUGGCGAAAGCGGCCCCCUGGACAGAUACUGACACUCACAUGCGAAAGCGUGGGGAGCAAACACGAUUAGAUACCCUGGUAGUCCACGCCGUAAACGAUGUCUACCUGGAGGUUGUGGCCCUCACCCCUGGCUUUCUGAGCUCACGCGUUUAAUAGACCCCCCGGGGAGUACGGUCGCGGGAUUAAAACUCAAAUGAAUUGACCGGGGCCCGCCCCAUCGCUGGAGCAUGUUGUUUAAUUCUAUGCAACCCCCAAAAACUUACCUACUCUUG
rnacentral:rRNA from 1 species